rnacentral:tRNA from 6 species
GGGCCGUUAGCUCAAUUGGUAGAGCAGCUGACUCUUAAUCAGUUGGUUGAAGGUUCGAGUCCUUCACGGCCCACCA